UGGGGACUGAUCCUGCACCGCUGAAGUCAGCGGAAGCUUUGCACUGACUUCAAUUGGAGCAAGAUUGAGCUCUCA
rnacentral:pre_miRNA from 1 species